rnacentral:tRNA from 1 species
CUUUAGCUCAGUAGGCAGAGCGUCGGUCUCAUAAUCCGGAGGUCGUGAGUUCGAUCCUCACAG